ensembl:lncRNA HCP5 HLA complex P5
GUCCCGAACCCUCCUCCUGCUGUUCUCGGGAGCCGUGGCCCUGAUCCAGACCUGGGCAGAUUACAAUUACAAUCAAGGCAGAAAUGAUCUCAUUUUUACAUUACAACUCUGGAAAAGGCAAUAGACUGAGAUGCAAGUGUGCCCCCAAGUGAUGGGCAGAAGGAGAGAAGGUGUUUUGGAUGCAUUCUAGAACACAGGGUACCCUCCUUUAGAAUCCAGGACCUUCUACCCUGCAGAGUGUGGUUUUGGGAGAGAAGUGCAAAAUCCCACGACAGAGUGCUUCCUGCAAGCUGGCGUUGAGCUGUGCCUAUAGAAGCUCUUUUCAACAUUCUUUAUGGCCAGCAGCCCUUGGUUGGUGCAGAUGGUGAUAGGACCAGUGGGUCCCACAGCAUGGCCACACUGCACCUCCUUCGCUGUCAAGUGGGUCCCCCACGAAGAUACUGCACGGAGAGCAGUGCCAAGCCUGUGGAUCAGGAAUAUCAACAGCCCCCAGAGAGUGGUGCUGGCUGAGGGUCUGAGAGCAGGACAGGAAAACCCACCUAUGGAAUAGGUGCCUAUCCCUGUGAAGAUGAACCUCUGGCCCUUCCAGGAUGGAAGGAGUGCAAUGUAGUCAACUCCUCACUUAGGGUCUGGUUGGUCACCUAAAGAAAUAGAGCCCUACCAGGGAAGAUCAUUGGGUUCAAAUGCUGAUGAGUAGGACAUUUAGAGGUGGCAGUGUCUGGAUCUACCUUGGUAGGAGGGAGUCAGUACUGUUGGACCCAUAGGUAGCCUCAUCCCUGCCACUGUGUUUGCUCCAUUUAUGUACCCAUCCUACCCGGCCUGGGCUGACCCAUGGGGAAGGCUGGCUAAUUUCAGUGCUUCUGCUUGGUUGUUCAGGGCCAUUUCAGGUUUGGGUGUUUUCUGGGGAUGUUAACAUGGGAUUCAGGCUCAACUCACAAGAAACUUUUCCAUCUCAUGAUGGAUGCUGUUGGGCAUGUCCAAUGUAUGACUUCAUGAGUUACACAGAUGCUAAUUCGUAGGGGCACUUGGAAUCACAUGGUUGUUUUGUGUCCCAUGGUCAAGCAUUCUAUCUUAUCAGGGCCUACAGUAACAUGCCAAAAGUUGCUUCCAACAUAUUUCUCUGCUUUGGAUGGGGCAUAUUUCUGUGCUGUGGAUGACAUGGCCUUACUCCAGAAUCCCAGGCCCUCCACUGUGACUCUCCUACUGGUGCUUGGUUCAGCUCCACCCCAAAUCUUACCCCACCACUGGCACUUUCAGCACCAGGGGGUCUGAAGGAUGGUGACUGCGCCAUGGCCUGGAUCUGCUGCAGUGUCCUUUCCUGUGGAGGCUCCACUCAAAGCUGGCAUCCUCCUAUGUCACCUAGAGUGUGGGUCAAAGCAAUACACCUACAUGUAGAAUGUGAUGUCAGAACUCAAACAGGCUCACCAGGCAGUGUGCUUCCUUCCUUGCAUGAGGAUGCAAGAUGCAACAGUUUGUCUUUCACAUUGGAAGGGACACCCCUGGAUGCCCCUAACCACUAGACCUGUAAAACUUCACUGCAGUGGCCACUUCUGAAUCUCUGUAAGGUUUAUUUAUCUUCACCCUCUGGAGAGAAGAUGUUUUACCAAAGCCUCUAGUGUACCUUCCUCCUCUUACUCAUCCAUCCCAGUCAACAUGAUGUUGUCAAUGAAAUAAAGGAAUUUAAUAUUC